UUCAAUUCGGUAAUCAACAAAGUAGUUGCCUUGUGUUGUUGGGUUCAAGUUGUCUGGAAAAUUGAACAAUGGUGUUACAACUACCAACUUAGUUUUAACUGUGAUGCAAAUGUUAAGGAAGCAUGGGGUUGUUGGCAAGUUUGUUGAGUUUUAUGGUGGGGGCAUGGGUGAAUUAUCAUUGGCUGAUAGGGAUACUAUUGCUAAUAUGUCUCCUGAAUAUGGAGCAACCAUGGGUUUUUUUCCUGUAGAUCAUGUCACUCUACAAUAUCUCAAGCUAACGGGAUGAAGUGACGAAACUGUGGCAAUGAUAGAAGCCUAUCUAAGAGAAAAAA